ACUCGACCCCAUGAAGUCGGAGUCGCUAGUAAUCGCAGAUCAGCAACGCUGCGGUGAAUACGUUCCCGGGCCUUGUACACACCGCCCGUCAAGUCACGAAAGUUGGUAACACCCGAAGCCGAUGGCCCAACCCCUUUUUUGGGGAGGGAGUCGUCGAAGGUGGGACCGGUGAUUGGGACUAAGUCGUAACAAGGUAGCCGUACCGGAAGGUGCGGCUGGAUCACCUCCUUU
rnacentral:ncRNA from 1 species